UUUGAUAUAAAUAUAAAAGGUCCAGCCUGCCCAGUGACCUAGUUCAACGGCCGCGGUAUCCUAACCGUGCGAAGGUAGCGUAAUCACUUGUUCUUUAAAUGAGGACUAGUAUGAAUGGCACCACGAGGGUUAAACUGUCUCCUUUUUCUAAUCAGUGAAACUAAUCUCCCCGUGAAGAAGCGGGGAUUACCAUAUAAGACGAGAAGACCCUAUGGAGCUUAAAACAAAUUAACACCUGCUUCCACCUAUUUUUAUUCCCGAGCUAACAUAAAAUACAGCAUUAUUGAUUAAUAGUUUUCGAUUGGGGUGAUUAUGGAGUAAAAAUUAACCUCCACGACGAAAGGGCCACUUCCCUGAGCUAAAAGCUACAACUUUAAGCACUAAAAAAUUAACGCACUUUGACCCAAAUUUUUGAGCAACGAAC
rnacentral:rRNA from 1 species